rnacentral:sRNA from 1 species
AACCCUAUCGUUGUAACAUCUGUGGGGCCCAGUUCAACCGGCCAGCCAACUUGAAAACCCACACUCGAAUUCACUCUGGAGAGAAGCCCUACAAAUGCGAAACCUGUGGAGCCAGAUUUGUGCAGGUGGCUCACCUCCGUGCCCACGUGCUUAUCCACACUGGUGAGAAGCCCUAUCCCUGUGAAAUCUGUGGCACCCGUUUCCGGCACCUUCAGACUCUGAAGAGCCACCUGCGAAUCCACACAGGAGAGAAACCUUACCAUGUGCGUAAGCCUCUUGGGGCCGCUCUCUGGCCUGCAGGGAUAUGGAGGACGGGGAAGGAGGUGGAGCAGGGAGGCAGUGGAACUGUUUGCUCCCAUCUCAAGCACACAGUGGGGCAACCACUACGCUAAUGGUUGGAAGACCUAGAUCUGGGCCCGAUGGCCAGACACCCUGCUUGACCUUGGCCCAAGCCUUAGGGGACUCAUCUUUAAAAUGAGGGUAUUGGAUUAGGUGAUCUGGGCCUUAGGAGAGGAAUCUAGACUGUGGAUACAUAGACUUGAUUCACUCUACCUAGAUUCAUUCAUUUCACAAAUACUUAUUGAUUGCCUACUGGACACCCCAUACUGGGCUAGAU